CGGUCCAGACUCCUACGGGAGGCAGCAGUAGGGAAUCUUCCGCAAUGGGCGAAAGCCUGACGGAGCAACGCCGCGUGAGUGAUGAAGGUCUUCGGAUCGUAAAACUCUGUUAUUAGGGAAGAACAUAUGUGUAAGUAACUGUGCACAUCUUGACGGUACCUAAUCAGAAAGCCACGGCUAACUACGUGCCACAGCCGCGGUAA
rnacentral:rRNA from 1 species